rnacentral:rRNA from 1 species
UACAGAGGGGGCAAGCGUUAUUCGGAAUUAUUGGGCGUAAAGGGCGCGUAGGCGGCCUGGCAAGUGGAUGGUGAAAUCCCUCGGCUUAACCGAGGAACUGCCAUCCAGACUGCUUGGCUUGAGACCGGGAGAGGUGAGUGGAAUUCCCAGUGUAGCGGUGAAAUGCGUAGAUAUUGGGAGGAACACCAGUGGCGAAGGCGGCUCACUGGACCGGCACUGACGCUGAGGCGCGAAAGCGUGGGGAGCAAACGGG